rnacentral:rRNA from 1 species
UACGUAGGGUGCAAGCGUUGUCCGGAAUUAUUGGGCGUAAAGAGCUCGUAGGCGGUUUGUCGCGUCUGCUGUGAAAACUCGGGGCUUAACCCCGGGCCUGCAGUGGGUACGGGCAGACUAGAGUGCGGUAGGGGAGACUGGAAUUCCUGGUGCAGCGGUGAAAUGCGCAGAUAUCAGGAGGAACACCGGUGGCGAAGGCGGGUCUCUGGGCCGAUAUUGACGCUGAGGAGCGAAAGCGUGGGGAGCGAACAGG